UCACACAGAAACAUUCAGAACCUAUGAUA
rnacentral:piRNA from 1 species